UAAGGUGCUUAAGAAUGUUGACAUGUUGGUCU
rnacentral:piRNA from 1 species